rnacentral:tRNA from 1 species
GGAUAUAACUCAAGUGGUAGAGCACAUGCCUAUCAUGCCUGAGGUCCUGGGUUCAAUCCCCAGUAUCUCCA